rnacentral:ncRNA from 1 species
UUCUUCGGGGCGGGGUGCAAGUCCCCACCGGCAGUUAAAGUCUGCGAGCUGCUGUAGGCAGUUGAUUUGGUGUAAUUCCAAAACCGACGGUAUAGUCCGGAUGGGAGGAGGA